GCAGGCUGGGGAAUUGAGCCCCUGGCCCUUGCAUCUCUCUAAGCAGGCGCUUUAAUCUGCUGAGCUAUCUGGCCGACACCUAGAAUAUUAUCUUAAUAAGCUUUAUCAGUUAAGCUUUUUAAAAAACAGGCUGAAUUCAGUAGAAAUUUACUUCAUGGUAGAUCCAGAACAGUGGGUGUGAAGCAGUUGAAAAUACCAGCAGCACAAGAGUUCUCUGUAAAUGGGGUUCAACUGCUGCCCUGUAGCUUUG